rnacentral:rRNA from 1 species
CACGUAGGGACCAAGCGUUGUCCGGAUUCAUUGGGCGUAAAGGGCUCGUAGGCGGUUUGUCGCGUCGGGAGUGAAAACACGGGGCUUAACCCCGUGCCUGCUUCCGAUACGGGCAGACUAGAGGUAUGCAGGGGAGAACGGAAUUCCUGGUGUAGCGGUGAAAUGCGCAGAUAUCAGGAGGAACACCGGUGGCGAAGGCGGUUCUCUGGGCAUUACCUGACGCUGAGGAGCGAAAGUGUGGGGAGCGAACAGG